rnacentral:sRNA from 1 species
AGUGGUAGCUGAGUUAGAACUUAACAGCGUAAAACCACCGCCAGACACGAACAAAGAGG